rfam:Larimichthys crocea isolate SSNF unplaced genomic scaffold scaffold331, whole genome shotgun sequence.
CUGGGUUACGGGGAUAUGUACCCUGAGACGUGGUCGGGAAUGCUGGUGGGUGCCCUCUGCGCCUUGGCUGGUGUGCUGACCAUUGCUAUGCCUGUGCCCGUCAUCGUCAACAAC